UUUAAUGAUGCUUUUAUUUUACAGGAUACAAAUUUCUUUUUAAGUACUCAACAGGAAUUAAAGUGCUUAAUUUUUACAAUUCUCCACCCACCUUAUGACCAAAUAUACAUAUAUUACAGAAAAUAUAUACAGUAUCUGCAAAGUUUUUACAUUCAUAUAUUUCUUGACCAUAAAAAUUACCACUUACAUUUGCACAACUUACAACGGCAUUUAUAUUUCACCUUUUUAAUACUCUUCACUUUAUUGCAAAACCAGAACAAAUAUACACCUCUUCCGAACAUUAGGGGUUUUCUUUUAAAAAGUGUUUUUGCAAUUCAAACCAGAAAUGUUUCCAUAAUGAAGGGGAAUUAAUGUGUAGCCUGUAAUUCUGAUGUCAAACAUUUCAACCGAUCCACUAAAAUUAACAUAUUAAUCUACUUUGAGGGCUGCAGAAUAGAAAACAUGCUAAUAGAAAAAACCCAAACCAAUGCCUCUAUUGCAAACUGUUCCCUAUAUGCAAUAAAUUUGGCUUCUUUCUUAAAAAUACAAGGGCACACAUACAUGCAAAAAUGCUUUGACAUAGUUCCCCCUUUCCUGAAUGUUUCCACCAUGAGUAUUUAAUGAAUCUACAAGGAUGAACUAUAAACAAAUUAGGUUGGUGUUACGCCAUGGCUGAAAACAUAUUUUAUUCAAGGAAAUCUGCUUGAAGAUUUUAGAAGAGGAAAACCACAUUCUACAUUCAUUUAUGCUAGGAAGAGGAAGGAGUGAAAGUAAAAUGCCAUAGUUGAGUCUGGGAAGAAAUUUAAUCACAAGGUUUUAAAGGAGGCAGAUUGAGUGCCUUGCUGAAUUUAGAGUGUUUGGGGUUUUGUUGUUGUUGGGUUUCUGGGUGGAUAUUUUUGUUUUGUUUUUUAAUUAGGCCAAAAUAGUAAACAUGCCACAAAAGUAGAUCUACUUUGUCGAUAUUUUUCUUCUGAAAAGCAUACUCAACACAGUCAAUAUACAUUAUAUUUUGAAUGCAGCACAGUGUGCUUUUUGAUUGGAAAAUACUGCUUGAAAACAGGUCAUCUGAAUAAUAGUCUCAAAUAUAUAAAUACACAUAUAUACAUAUACACACACAUACAUAUGUGUAUAUAGACACAUAUAUACAAUCAUUAAGUUAAUGUUAUGUUCUGUUAAGGGAACAGGAUUUUAGGAAACAAUCUGACUGGCAGAUUUAAACUACCCAAGGAGCAUACUUCACUACAGACCCAUGGGGCAGAACCAGCUAGGUAAGUUCCUCAUACCAAUAGGGCCACAGACUGGAGAAAAAAAUGUAACUCCAUAUAUUUCAUUUCAGAUUUCAAACAACAGUACACCACAGACUAAGAAUACCCAUUUCACCACUGGAUUUAUGUUAAGGAUAGUCAAUUCUACUACAAAAUUAUUUUUCUUCUCCAAUCAUUUAUUUUUGGAUAUAUACUUCCAGUUGUUUACAUUCACUCCUACAUCAAUUAUCUCCAAAUGAAACCCAGCUGAGCACUGUGAUUCCAGAUGAGACACAGUAAGUCAGCAGCUCUCAAACUGGUAAAAGCUUGAUUUUCCACAAGUGUUUCUAUAUAAUGAAUUUAAAUCACUGAAGGUAUAAUAGCUCCAGCAGGAGCUAUGCUAGUUUACACCUGCUGAAAAGAUUUAUGUAGAAAGCUCCUUUUUGUUGCUUCGAAUUAUUUCGACAUGGAAUGUAUAUUUCUUUCCUGAAAGAGUUCCCCUCAAUGUAAAGAACCACUACCCUCUGUUCAUUUUAUUUAAUUUUAUCUUGAAAUGAAAAGCUGACCAGUUUUUAUACUAGUUGUGGUGAUGUAGGUUUAAAAAAAACCCUCAGCAAACAAGAAACCAACAAACUCCGAAGAACCUGCCAAGUAUUCCAUAUCUUUACCACUUAUUUUAUAUAUAUAGAUAUAAUUAUUUUUUUUUUUUCCUCCUGACUCCACUUGCAAUUCUUUGGAGCAUACUUCUAUAACCUCAUCUAAAAUUACUCAGGUGGUAGUGAAAUGAUUCCACAUUUACUCAGUGCCUUGGCUUCAUCCACAAUUCAAAAAUAUGAAGAAUAAAAAUCUCUUUUCUAUGAAAGGGAUUUAGAAUCUUUGAGGAGAUUUAUAAAGCACUUUGAGAUGGUUUUGCAUAAAAAGAUGCCACUAUACAUUGUAUGCAUGUAAAGUUGUUUAAUAUUCUACUCCAAAUAAAAGACAACGUUUUGUAUUCCCAUAUCUAUUUUGCAUAUUAAAAUUAAAUACAUGUUAGAAUAAACAAAACUACCAGUGCAAAGGGAUUUGAACGGACUAGAUGCUAUAGAUUUUGCAGUAGCUCUUCAACCAAGCAGUGUACCUGAUACUUGAAAAGAAUUUUUAGAGGAUCUGGAAGAAUGGUGAUAACAUGCAGAUGUCAUGAUACACUAUUUUUUCAUCUCAGGGGAAAAAUAUUAAGUAAUUUUGAAAACUACAUUAACAUCUUCCAAACAUAUUAAUGAUAAAAUUGAGCCAUUGUUCUAGUCGAACACAGAUAAACCCACACAAAAUAAUUGUUGAUCUGCUUUAAAUUGCACAAAAGUCUGAUCACUUUUAAAGUGAGAAACAAGAAUUUCUUGAACGUAAGAAUUACAAAGCUUAAAUAAUGCAGAAAAGCCAUUCACAUACAUUCAUGUAUUAUGAAUAAAUGCUCAGUUAUAGUUUAUUUCUUACACACACAGCUUUAUGCUAAUAAAUUUAAUGCCUUAAAAGAAAAAAAUAAAAAAAAAACCCCAACCCGUCUGAAGUGGAGACAGCCUAUACCUUGCUAGAAUGGUAGUUUUAAUUUGACUGCUCUUGUCACGAUAAUUAAACCACAGCAGUUACUACUUUGAAUUUGUUCCUCUGAGGUCAUAAUUUACAAUUUAAAGAGUUUUGGAUGCUGUAGGGGGGCUUGUCUGUGGAGAAUGGAGUAAAACAGUUAGGGUGGUUAAAUCUAGAAGCAACAUCUUCAUCUUUUAUACUUUAAUACUGUGGGUAUAUACUUUCCCUACAAAAUACACACAGAAUCAUACAUUUGAGUGCCAAGACAUUCUGAAUCGGAAGAGAACAAUUCUGACCAAGCAACUGACUAUAUGAACAUGAAAUAGGUUUCACUAGGAUAAAUAAAAUAUCUCACACUAUCUAAACUUAAAAGGCUGAGAGUAAACAUGAGGCUAACAUCCAAAUAAAUAACUCUCAAUGCUAUGUUCAUUUCAAAUUGUUUAUACCCAAAUGCAGGGCUUUGUCUGUGAGAUGCUGAAACCAUUCAAGCAGCUUCA
rnacentral:lncRNA from 1 species